rnacentral:rRNA from 1 species
UACGAAGGGGGCUAGCGUUGUUCGGAAUCACUGGGCGUAAAGGGCGCGUAGGCGGCUUUUCAAGUCGGGGGUGAAAGCCUGUGGCUCAACCACAGAAUUGCCUUCGAUACUGUUAGGCUUGAGACCGGAAGAGGUGAGUGGAACUGCGAGUGUAGAGGUGAAAUUCGUAGAUAUUCGCAAGAACACCAGUGGCGAAGGCGGCUCACUGGUCCGGUUCUGGACGCUGAGGCGCGAAAGCGUGGGGAGCAACAGG